AGGAUGAUGUGCUUCCACACUAAUGCACACAAAAUGCUGAAGGAACUCAGCAGGUCAGGCAGCAACAAUGGAGAGGAAUAAAGAAUUGACAUUCAGGCCAAGCUUCUUCAUCAGGACUCCACUCCAAUUUGCCCUCCAUUCACAUACACGGUCUGCAGUCUCGAGAAAGAUUUGGACAUGAUGGAAAUGUGGAGCACAUUCAGAAAGGAGAACAGCACGCUAAAAGGUGGGGAAAAGGCAGGUGAGUGACCAGAACUGCACUCAAUACCCCAAAUUAGGAACAAGAGAAAAUCUGCAGAAGCUGGAAGUCAAAGCAAUACAUACGAAUUGCUGGAGGACCUCAGCAGGCCAGGUAGCACCUAUGGAAAAGAGUAAACAGUCGGCAUUUUGGUCUGAGACCCUUCAACUAAAUAAGGCUUCACCAACAUCCUUUACACCUUUAACAUAACAUCCCGACUCCUGUACAUAAUAUUUUGAUUUAAGCCAAAAGUUCUCUUUACAACCUAUCGACCUAUGACUCCACGUUCAAGGAAUUAUGGAUCAGUAUUCUGUCUAUUACACUCCUCAGUGCCCUACCAUUGCCUUUCCUCACAACUGUUUCCCAUCUAUCUUCAUAUCAUCAAUUAGUUUAGCAGUCAAAUGUCAUCUCUGUCAUAAUUGUAGGUUGCAAGUACUUGAGCCAACACCGAUCUCUGGUACCCCUCCAUAUUUAUCACUUAUCAACCUAAGUAAUCAUUCAAUAGGGGAGGAGAUGGUGCAGAAGAGAUUCACCUGGCUGUUGCCUAGGAUGGAACAUUUCUGGUUUGGGGAUAGACUAGAUCUAUUCUCCCUGUCCCAGGAGGAUAUGAGAGGACGUUACUGAAAUAUACAAAAUAAUGAGUGUACAGAUACUGUAGGCUGCAAGAAACAUAUCCCCUUAUCAGAACUGGAGGACACAGAUUUAGGGUAAGGGGAAAGAAAUGCAGAGGGAAUUUGAAAGAGCACCUUCUUCGCCCAGAGAGUGCUGAGUACCAGGAAGGAGUAGUGAAUGCAGAGUCACUAUCUGCAUUUAUGAGGUAUGUAGACAAUUACUUGAAACUCCUAGGUAUAGGGUUAAGAGUGGAAAGAUGGGAUUGCCUUAGGUUGCAUGCCACCAGGCUCAGGAACAGUUAUUACCCUACAACCAUCAGACUCCUGAACCAGCAUGGAUGACUCCACCCACCUCAAUACUAAGCUGACUCCACAGCCUAUGGACUCACUUUGAAGGACUCUACCACUCAUGGUCCCAGUAUUAUUUAUUUUUUUAAAAAAAUCUUUUGCACCGUUUGUCUUCUUUUGCACAUUGGUUGUUUGUCAGCUUUUGGUUAUGUAUAUAUUUUAAUAAAUUGUAUUAUAUUUCUUAAGGUUGUAUAGCCGGGUGUGGUAGUGGGGAUAAGCUACCUAAUGAGGUGUGUAUCAAAUAGUCACUGAACACCAAGCCCAGCUCCUGACCUUCACAUGUGGCUUAGCUACUAAGCCUGA